rnacentral:pre_miRNA from 1 species
AGUGCAAUUGCUAGGUAAUAUGGUAAUAGUAAUAUUUAGUUUUUUAAGAAACUGCCAAAUUGUUUUCCAAAGUGGCUGGACCAUUUUACAUUCCCACCAGCAGU